rnacentral:rRNA from 1 species
CCUACGGGUGGCAGCAGUAGGGAAUCUUUCACAAUGGGCGAAAGCCUGAUGGUGCAACGCCGCGUGCAGGAUUAAGGCCUUCGGGUUGGAAACUGCUUUUAUAAGCGAGAAAGAUGAUGGUAACUUAUGAAUAAGGAUCGGCUAACUACGGGCCAGCAGCCGCGGCCAUACGAAGGAUCAGAGCAUUAGCCGGAGUGGCUGGGUGUAAAGGGUUGCGUAGGUGGCAUUAUAAGUAGCUAGUGCACUCUGGUGGCUCAACCAUUCAGACUAUUAGCUAAACAGUUAAGCUCGAGACCGUUAGGGGUAACUGGAAUUUCUAGUGUAGGAGUGAAAUCCGUAGAUAUUAGAAGGAACACCAAUAGCGUAGGCAGGUUGCUGGGACGGUUCUGACACUAAGGCACGAAAGCGUAGGGAGCAAACGGGAUUAGAUACCCGUGUAGUC